rnacentral:rRNA from 1 species
CCCUUAGAUGUUCUGGGCUGCACGCGUGCUACACUGAUAUUGCCAAUAUGUCAUUCUUAUCCGAAAUGGAGUGGGUAAUCAAGUAAUGAAAUUUCAUGCUUGGAAUCGGUAAUUGCAAUUUUAUCGUGAACGAGGAAUUCCUAGUAAGCACUAGUCAUCAGCUAAUGUUGAUUAUGUCCCUGCCCUUUGUACACACCGCCCGUCGCUACUACUGAUUGGGUGUUCAAGUGAGAUGCUUAGACCCUUGUUGCAUGGUUCAUUAUUGUGCUCCGAAAGGAAAAAGUUUCAAGCUUGAGUGUCUAGAGGAAGUAAAAGUCGUAACA